GUCGAGAGGCUUCGGCAAUGGGGGAAACCCUGACCGAGCGACGCCGCGUGGGCGAUGAAGGCCGUAAGGUUGUAAAGCCCUGUCAGGAGGGAAGAACGCAAACGUGCAAACAGUGCGUUUGUUUGACGGUACCUCCAGAGGAAGCUCCGGCUAACUCCGUGCCAGCAGCCGCGGUAAUACGGGGGGAGCAAACGUUGUUCGGAAUCACUGGGCGUAAAGGGCGCGCAGGCGGCUCGGUUAGUGGAAUGUGAAAUGCCCUGGCUUAACCAGGGAACUGCAUUCCAUACUGCCGAGCUUGAGUAUAGGAGAGGAUGGGGGAAUUCCCGGUGUAGCGGUGGAAUGCAUUGGUAGCGGGAGGAACACCAGUGGCGAAGGCGCCCAUCUGGCCUAAUACUGACGCUCAGGCGCGAAAGCUAGGGGAGCAAACAGGAUUAGAAACCCUGGUAGUCC
rnacentral:rRNA from 1 species